rnacentral:ribozyme from 1 species
CCCAACCAAGGGCAGACGUCUUUACGCGGUGCUGGGGAUCAGUACUUGCAGUUAAAUUCGUCACUCAACUGAUUGAGGAAGCUAAGAUCUGC